rnacentral:rRNA from 1 species
AUUGAACGCUGGCGGCAUGCUUUACACAUGCAAGUCGAACGGGCUGGGGGCAACUCCAGUCAGUGGCGAACGGGUGAGUAAUGCAUCGGAACGUGUCCCGUAGUGGGGGAUAACCCGGCGAAAGCCGGACUAAUACCGCAUAUGCUCUACGGAGGAAAGUGGGGGACCGCAAGGCCUCACGCUAUGGGAGCGGCCGAUGUCCGAUUAGCUUGUUGGUGGGGUAAUGGCCUACCAAGGCGACGAUCGGUAGCUGGUCUGAGAGGAUGAUCAGCCACACUGGGACUGAGACACGGCCCAGACUCCUACGGGAGGCAGCAGUGGGGAAUUUUGGACAAUGGGGGCAACCCUGAUCCAGCCAUGCCGCGUGCGGGAAGAAGG